UACGAAGGGGGCUAGCGUUGUUCGGAAUUACUGGGCGUAAAGCGUGCGCAGGCGGCUGCUCAAGUCAGGGGUGAAAGCCCAGAGCUCAACUCUGGAAUUGCCUUUGAGACUGAGUGGCUUGAGUACGGGAGAGGUGAGUGGAAUUCCCAGUGUAGAGGUGAAAUUCGUAGAUAUUGGGAAGAACACCGGUGGCGAAGGCGGCUCUCUGGACCGAUACUGACGCUGAGGCGCGAAAGCGUGGGGAGCAAACAGG
rnacentral:rRNA from 1 species